UACAGAGGUCUCAAGCGUUGUUCGGAUUCAUUGGGCGUAAAGGGCGCGUAGGUGGCGGGACAAGCGUGCGGUGAAAGCUCGGGGCUCAACCCCGCGUCGGCCGUGCGAACUGUUUUGCUUGAGCACUGUAGAGGCAGGCGGAAUUCCGGGUGUAGCGGUGGAAUGCGUAGAGAUCCGGAAGAACACCGGUGGCGAAGGCGGCCUGCUGGGCAGUUGCUGACACUGAGGCGCGACAGCGUGGGGAGCAAACAGG
rnacentral:rRNA from 1 species